rnacentral:rRNA from 1 species
UACGUAGGGUGCAAGCGUUGUCCGGAAUUAUUGGGCGUAAAGAGCUCGUAGGCGGUUUGUCGCGUCUGCUGUGAAAACUCGGGGCUUAACCCCGGGCCUGCAGUGGGUACGGGCAGACUAGAGUGCGGUAGGGGAGACUGGAAUUCCUGGUGUAGCGGUGAAAUGCGUAGAUAUCGGGAGGAACACCAGUGGCGAAGGCGCCUGCCUGGCCUGUUCUUGACGCUGAGGCGCGAAAGCUAGGGGAGCAAACGGG